CGAACGUUAGCGGCGGGCCUAACACAUGCAAGUCGAACGAGAAAAUCCCUUCGGGGGUGAGUACAGUGUCGCACGGGUGAGGAACGCGUAGGUAAUCUACCCUUUGGCGGGGGACAACAUUCCGAAAGGAAUGCUAAUACCGCGUAAGACCACGUUCACUACGGUGAGAGUGGUAAAAGGUGCCUCAAAGCACCACCAAAGGAUGAGCCUGCGUCCCAUCAGCUUGUUGGUAAGGUAAUGGCUUACCAAGGCUAAGACGGGUAGCUGGUCUGAGAGGAUGAUCAGCCACACUGGCACUGGAACACGGGCCAGACUCCUACGGGAGGCAGCAGUGAGGAAUAUUGGGCAAUGGGCGAAAGCCUGACCCAGCCACGCCGCGUGUGUGAUGAAGGCCUUCGGGUCGUAAAGCACUGUGGGGAGAGACGAAACAGCGCGCCAGGAAAUGGGUGCGCCUUGACGGUACCUCCUUAGCAAGCACCGGCUAACUCU
rnacentral:rRNA from 1 species